CCAAACUGUUGCCUCGGCGGGAUCUCUGCCCCGGGUGCGUCGCAGCCCCGGACCAAGGCGCCCGCCGGAGGACCAACCAAAACUCUUAUUGUAUACCCCCUCGCGGGUUUUUUUAUAAUCUGAGCCUUCUCGGCGCCUCUCGUAGGCGUUUCGAAAAUGAAUCAAAACUUUCAACAACGGAUCUCUUGGUUCUGGCAUCGAUGAAGAACGCAGCGAAAUGCGAUAAGUAAUGUGAAUUGCAGAAUUCAGUGAAUCAUCGAAUCUUUGAACGCACAUUGCGCCCGCCAGUAUUCUGGCGGGCAUGCCUGUCCGAGCGUCAUUUCAACCCUCGAACCCCUCCGGGGGGUCGGCGUUGGGGAUCGGCCCUCCCUUAGCGGGGUGGCCGUCUCCGAAAUACAGUGGCGGUCUCGCCGCAGCCUCUCCUGCGCAGUAGUUUGCACACUCGCAUCGGGAGCGCGGCGCGUCCACAGCCGUUAAACACCCAACUUCUGAAAUGUUGACCUCGGAUCAGGUAGGAAUACCCGCUGAACUUAAGCAUAUCAAUAAGCGGAGGAA
rnacentral:rRNA from 1 species